AACUGUUGCCUCGGCGGGGUCACGCCCCGGGUGCGUCGCAGCCCCGGAACCAGGCGCCCGCCGGAGGAACCAACCAAACUCUUUCUGUAGUCCCCUCGCGGACGUAUUUCUUACAGCUCUGAGCAAAAAUUCAAAAUGAAUCAAAACUUUCAACAACGGAUCUCUUGGUUCUGGCAUCGAUGAAGAACGCAGCGAAAUGCGAUAAGUAAUGUGAAUUGCAGAAUUCAGUGAAUCAUCGAAUCUUUGAACGCACAUUGCGCCCGCCAGUAUUCUGGCGGGCAUGCCUGUCCGAGCGUCAUUUCAACCCUCGAACCCCUCCGGGGGAUCGGCGUUGGGGAUCGGGACCCCUCACACGGGUGCCGGCCCCGAAAUACAGUGGCGGUCUCGCCGCAGCCUCUCCUGCGCAGUAGUUUGCACAACUCGCACCGGGAGCGCGGCGCGUCCACGUCCGUAAAACACCCAACUUUCUGAAAUGUUGACCUCGGAUCAGGUAGGAAUACCCGCUGAACUUAAGCAUAUCA
rnacentral:rRNA from 1 species